rnacentral:rRNA from 1 species
CUACGGGAUGCAGCAGUGGGGAAUAUUGGACAAUGGGGGAAACCCUGAUCCAGCAAUGCCGCGUGUGUGAAGAAGGCCUGCGGGUUGUAAAGCACUUUCGGUUGGGAGGACUGCUUCUAGCACUAAUAUUGUUGGAAGUUGACGUUACCUUCAGAAGAAGCACCGGCUAACUCCGUGCCAGCGGCCGCGGUAAUACGGAGGGUGCAAGCGUUAAUCGGAAUUACUGGGCGUAAAGCGCGCGUAGGCGGCUAGAUCAGUCGGGGGUGAAAGCCCCGGGCUUAACCUGGGAACUGCAUCCGAUACUGUCUAGCUCGAGUACAGGAGAGGAGAGUGGAAUUCCACAUGUAGCGGUGAAAUGCGUAGAUAUGUGGAGGAACACCAAUGGCGAAGGCAGCUCUCUGGCCUGAUACUGACGCUGAGGUGCGAAAGCGUGGGGAGCAAACAGGAUUAGAUACCCGCGUAGUC